UCAUAGAUUUUACUCACAUCUUUACCCAUUCAUACUAUAAUCAUUAUAAACUCAUCACAUAAUACCAUAGCACAUGCAUGCAUAAUUAAAAUAGAUUUACAACCCCAUAAUAAAAAUAGGUCAACACAUAUGGUUAAAGCCAUAUCACAUACUCUAACAUUUAAACUCCUAUACAUGCCAUAGGCUCAAAGUACUUGAAAUCACUACACCAAUAGCGUUAGCUUGACUGUGUGAUAAUAUCUCUGACGGCCUCCAACCCGAGCUAACCUGGAAACUCUAGAAAACAUGGAAAAGAAGGAGGGGGUAAGCUUUCUUAGUAAGUUCAUAUGAAAACAAUAAGCACUCAUUAACUUGUUUUAUCAAUGUUUACAACAUAUUCUCAAGUUCACUACAAGCUGUCUUUCUGAGCAACAGUCACUAAAUUAUUUAUAUCUGGAGCUACGAAACUCCGAAUUAAGUUCCGUUAAUUUUCCCUGAAACUAGAAUUAUUUUCCUUUCUUCCAUAAAAUUUUCAGAUUUUUGGUUAAGCCAAAUAGUACAGUUUAUUCCUCAAAGUUACCCCUGAUUCACUGUCUGACAGUUCCGACCCUUCUGUACUAAAGUUCAAUUAUCUCAUAGUACAAGACUUGAAUAAUGUUAUCGUCUAUUUCUAUUGAAACUAGACUCAUAUGUAUACUUACUAAUUUUUUUCUAGAAUUUUUGGUUGGGCCAAUUAGUACAUUUUAUUAGUUAAAGUCUCCCCUAUUUCAGGGUAUGACCACUCUGACCCCUGUGCACUACAAACCGAAUUUCUCCCUGUACAAAAUUACAACGACCAUGCCGUUUAUUUCCCCUAAAAAUAGACUCAAUAAGGAAUCCAUGAAUGUAAGGUAUGACUCUUAAUAAUUUUUGUACAAUUUUUGGUAAAUUUCUAAAUUCAGAAUAGGGGAUCUCGAAUUCAUUCAGAGCCUGUUUCACAAGAAUUCAAAUAUCACACAAUAUGGAAUUCUUUUUCUUCCCCUGUUUCUUUCAUGUGAAAAUAGACUCAUUAAGCUUUAAUCCCAUAUUUUAUUCUGCCUCUAACUCAUUUUCCACUAUUUUUAGUGUAUUUUCAAAGUUACACUACUGCAGUAACUCAAAUCUGUCAAGGCUAAAUUACUCAUUCAUGAUCAUUGUUCACAAAAUUAAUACAACAUCGUUUGUAUAAUCAUCACCUAGACAUUCAUAUCACAUUUUCAUUUACCAUCUUACCAUAUUGUUGUUAUGUCAAGUUUCCAACCCGAGGGUUAAGUACAUACCUGUUCAAAGUAUCCAUUUCACAACAUUUAGCAAUACGUCCCUUUCAUCUCGAGUAUUCCUCCAUUUGAGUAGAAUUUUACCCGUUGAACACAUCGGAAUAUAAUUCGGAUACAUGGAAAGUUUGCACAUAAGUGCCACAUAUGUAGCCAAGCUACCAUGUAACCCGCCCAUAAGUGAACUCGGACUCAACUCAACGAGCUCGGGUGUUCGCAUCCAUAAGUGAACUCGGACUCAACUCAACGAGCUCGGAUGCCUAGUUACAUCUCACAAACUCGGACUCAACUCAACGAGUUCGAACAUUCGCAUCCAUAAGUGAACUCGGACUCAACUCAACGAGUUCGGAUGCUCAACCAUCCUAGUGACAUGUCACUUGUAUCCUAAUCUAUUCCUAAGGUUCAAACGGGAUUUUCCUCGAACACAUAUCCUUGCCAUCUUCCGUAAAAUACCGAAACCAAUACUCGGUAGCACUUUAUAUUUAACAGAUAAUACACAUAACUUGCAUUUUAUUCGAAAAUAACCACAAAGCAUAUAUUUCAUGAUAAAAAUCAGCAUAUCAUAUAUUCAACAUCAAUAACUUAAAAAUAACAAUUAUGCUACCUUAUUUACACAUGAACUUACCUCGAUACCACAAAGGUGAAAAAAAAGACGUAAUUAUCCCUUAAUCGAUUUCUUUCCGUUCUAGGUCCAAAUCUCGAUUUUCAUCAUCUAAAAUAUCACAUUCAACUUAUUAAAACAAUGUACUGAUCAAAUUAGUCCAUUGACACACUUGGGCAAUUUUUACAAUUUUGCCCCUAUAUUUUGCCAAAAUUACCAAAUUACCCCUAGGCUCGUAAAAUAAUUUUUAUCACAUUUCUUUACUCCUUGAGUCUAGAUGAACCAUUUUCAUAACUAUAGAAACUCAUAAUUUCAACUAUUUCACACAUUUACAACUCAUUUUACAACUUAGCAAUCUAGCCCUUUUUAAGGUGUUUUCAUGCAUUUUCUUUCACAAAAGUUGUUUAUUAGACAACUAGGACUCAUAAUCUUCCAUAAAAACACAGCAAACAACACAUUUACUCUCAUGGCAAAACCCUAGACUCUUCAUUAUUUUGCAAAAUAGACCCCUCAUAUGAAAGCUCAUGCUUUAGGGGUUCCAAAAAUGUAAAAAUCAUCAAGAAAAAAACAUUAAAAUCACUUACUAUAAAGAGAGUUUCUUUGCUGAAAGUUUCCAGCUUCUAAACCCUUUCUUUGCUGCCAUUUUUUUC
rnacentral:lncRNA from 1 species